rnacentral:misc_RNA from 1 species
AAUGUGCUCCACUCCUCCUU